CGCAGCCGCGGUAAUUCCAGCUCCAAUAGCGUAUAUUAAAGUUGUUGCAGUUAAAAAGCUCGUAGUUGAAUUUUGGAUUCUGCCAAUUGGUCCAUCUUUUAGAUGAGUACUGGUUGUGUGGGGUCUAUCCGCCUGGUGAUACGUAAUGUCCUUUAUUGGAUGUUGCGGGUAGUCAGGACCUUUACCUUGAAAAAAUUAGAGUGUUUAAAGCAGGCUUAUGCCGGAAUACAUUAGCAUGGAAUAAUAGAAUAGGACGAAGUUGUUUUAUUUUGUUGGUUUCUAGGACAACCGUAAUGAUUAAUAGGGAUAGUUGGGGGCAUUAGUAUUCAAUUGUCAGAGGUGAAAUUCUUGGAUUUAUUGAAGACUAACUACUGCGAAAGCAUUUGCCAAGGAUGUUUUCAUUAAUCAAGAACGAAAGUUAGGGGAUCGAAGACGAUCAGAUACCGUCGUAGUCUUAACCAUAAACUAUGCCGACUAGGGAUCGGGCGAUGUUGUUUCCAUGACUCGCUCGGCACCUUAU
rnacentral:rRNA from 1 species